GCCAGGCAUGGUGGCACAUGCCCAAAAUCCUAGCAACUAGGGAGGCUGAGGGAGGCUGGUGGAUUGCUUGUGUUUGGGGGUUCUGAGCUGCAGUGCAGUAAGCUAAUCAGUUGUCUGUACUAAUUUUGGCACAUAUGGUGAAUCCUUGAGAGCAGGAGUCCCUGAGGCUACCUGAAGUGGAGUGGGAAUUAGUCCAGGUCAGAAAUGGAAACAGAUCAAAGCUUCUAUGCUGAUCAUCAGUGAGAUCAAGUCCAUGAGUGGCUGCUUAACUUUCAGCCUAGAUAAGAUAGGGAGAGAUAUCUCCA
rnacentral:sRNA from 1 species